rnacentral:misc_RNA from 1 species
GAUGAAGAACGCAGUGAAAUGCGAUAAGUAAUGCGAAUUGCAGAAUUUCCGUGAGUCAUCGAAUCUUUGAACGCACAUUGCGCCCACUGGUAUUCCGGUGGGCAUGCCUGUUCGAGCGUCAUUAUCCUCCCUCAAACCCCGGGUUUGGUGUUGGACCCAAGUUGUGUGAACAACUGGUCUUAAAGACAAUGACGGCGUCCGUGGGACCCUCGGUGCAACGAGCUUUUAGGAGCACGCGGCGAGUUGCAAGGACCUUCCGGGCCGGUCUCCUUUACUAUUUUACAAGGUUGACCUCGGAUCAGGUAGGAAUACCCGCUGAACUUAAGCAUAUCAAUAAGCGGAGGA